rnacentral:rRNA from 1 species
AAUGAACGCUGGCGGCAGGCCUAACACCUGCAAGUCGAAAGCAUGGCGGACGGGUGAGUAAUGUAUGGGAACAUGCCCGGUGGAGGGGGAUAACUACUGGAACCGGUAGCUAAUACCGAAUAACAUCAUAUUUGCCGAGAUGGGAUUAGCUAGUAGGUGGGGUAACGUCUCACCUAGGCGACGAUCCCUAGCUGGUCUGAGAGGAUGACCAGCCACACUGGAACUGAGACACGGUCCAGACUCCUACGGGAGGCAGCAGUGGGGAAUAUUGCACAAUGGGCGCAAGCCUGAUGCAGCCAUGCCGCGUGUAUGAAGAAGGCCUUCGGGUUGUAAAGUACUUUCAGCGAGGAGGCGUUACUCGCAGAAGAAGCACCGGCUAACUCCGUGCCAGCCGCCGCGGUAAUUC